UACGUAGGGUGCAAGCGUUGUCCGGAAUUAUUGGGCGUAAAGAGCUCGUAGGCGGUUUGUUGCGUCGGCUGUGAAAUCCCGAGGCUCAACCUCGGGUCUGCAGUCGAUACGAACAAACUAGAGUGUUGCAGGGGAGACUGGAAUUCCUGGUGUAGCGGUGAAAUGCGCAGAUAUCAGGAGGAACACCGGUGGCGAAGGCGGGUCUCUGGGCAGCAACUGACGCUGAGGAGCGAAAGCGUGGGGAGCGAACAGG
rnacentral:rRNA from 1 species